rnacentral:rRNA from 1 species
CAGUCGCCACGGUAAUACGUAGGGGGCGAGCGUUGUCCGAAGUUACUGGGCGUAAAGCGCGCGUAGGCGGCUUCUUAAGUCUGAGGUGAAAGGUUCAACGCUUAACGUGAACAGUGCCUUGGAUACUGGGGAGCUUGAGUAUGGGAGAGGGCAGUGGAAUGGCUGGUGUAGCGGUGAAAUGCGUAGAUAUCAGUCGGAACACCCAUGGCGAAGGCAGCUGCCUGGCCUAAUACUGACGCUGAGGUGCGAAAGCGUGGGGAGCGAACGGGAUUAGAUACCCCCGUAGUCCCUGUCUCUUAUA